rnacentral:rRNA from 1 species
AGCGAACGCUGGCGGUAUGCUUAACACAUGCAAGUCGAGCGCGAAAGUGACUUCGGUCAUGAGUAGAGCGGCGGACGGGUGAGUAACACGUGGAUAAUCUGCCUUUAGGACUGGGAUAACCCUGGGAAAUUAGGGCUAAUACCGGAUAAGACCACAGGUUCCAUGGAACCAGGGGUAAAAGGCGGCCUUCGGGCUGUCGCCGAAAGAUGAGUCCGCGUCCCAUCAGGUAGUUGGUGAGGAACGGCUCACCAAGCCGAAGACGGGUAGCCGACCUUAGCGGGUGAUCGGCCACACGGGGACUGAGACACGGCCCCGACUCCUACGGGAGGCAGCAGGUGGGGAAUCGUUGGGCAAGUGGGCGCAAGCCUGACCCAGCAAUACCGCGUGAGGGAUGAA